UGAGCAAUCUGCCCUUCUCUUCGGAAUAAGCGUUGGAAACGACGUCUAAUGCCGAAUACGACCUCCUUUCGCAUGAUCGGAGGUGGAAAGCUCCGGCGGAGAAGGAUGAGCUCGCGGCCUAUCAGCUAGUUGGUGUGGGUAAUGGCCCACCAAGGCGACGACGGGUAGCCGGCCUGAGAGGGUGACCGGCCACACUGGGACUGAGACCCCAGGCCCAGACCUCCUACGGGAG
rnacentral:rRNA from 1 species